CAGCCGAAGGCCAUCCUAGAGAGAAAACUGACUCUAAGCCGCGAGCAGCGCGGCGGAAGUCCUUAUCAGCGCUCAUUAAAAACCGGAAGUGCAUUUUGAUAGAAUUAAAUGAUAAGAGUGCUAUUUCUCCAUGAGAAUAACACAGACCAGAAGCGCGCAGUGACAACAGCAGAGCGCCACACGGUGACAUGCGUACAGCGCCAGAGACUAAGUCCCAAUCAAGGUCACACACUUUAACACGCGUACACUAACCAAUAAGGUAUUCUACAAAUGCAGUAGCGUCUUUUCGGUUAAGAUGUUAUAACCUCAAUAUAAUAAAAACCUCAAAGUCCUGCUCAGACGCACAGCUGUAGUGAAGAAUGAGAAGAAUUCAAGGCCUUCAUUGAAUUUUACAUUGAAGAUACGAAAUGUGGAGUUGAAGGCAUUCAGUUCUUCCAGAAUUACAUUUACAGAGGAGAAAAAUUGUUAAAGAACAUUCUAGACUUUCAUCUGCCAUGGAAGCACGGCAGUUAUGCAACAAAGAAAUGACUGAAUGGAGUAGUCCUCUUGUCCAUUCAUUGUUCAGUCUCUAUUACACGGUUGGCUGUGAUAGACGACCAUGCCAAGAGAAAGAAGAAACUGGGUACUGGUACCAUUACGUCAUUAUAGGAAACUUGCUUAUUAUUUUCUGGUACUUUUGUUUUACUUUUGAUUAUUUUUAGCCGUGAUGUAUUUAUCUAUUCAUCUGUAGAACUAUACACUUGCUAUGGAUGUUGUCAAUGCUUCACAUAAUGUUUCUUAUAUUUGGACAUAAAAAUUUCUAGGAUAAACACUUUUCAGAAACACUAAUCCUCGGCUUGACUAAUGAUUAGCCCCUGGUGACAUGUUUUGUAAAGUGCUUUGUUUCCAGAUCAAUUGUGCUAAGAAAGAAAGCAUUUGAAGUGGACUGUCACAUAGCAUGCAGUUUAUAGGUGCUAAAUACUAACAAUUUACUUAGUGACUUGCAUCUACUCAAUGUGUGUCACAAUUAUUCUACUACACUCUUUCAUUUCCAUUAAUUCACACAGGAAUUUUCAGUAACUACAACCUGUGUUUCAUUUGUAAACAUUGAAACAGUUUAUGACAGUUC